rnacentral:rRNA from 1 species
ACGUUUCGAAAGGAACGCUAAUACCGCAUACGUCCUACGGGAGAAAGCAGGGGACUUCGGGCCUUGCGCUAUCAGAUGAGCCUAGGUCGGAUUAGCUAGUUGGUGAGGUAAUGGCUCACCAAGGCGACGAUCCGUAACUGGUCUGAGAGGAUGAUCAGUCACACUGGAACUGAGACACGGUCCAGACUCCUACGGGAGGCAGCAGUGGGGAAUAUUGGACAAUGGGCGAAAGCCUGAUCCAGCCAUGCCGCGUGUGUGAAGAAGGUCUUCGGAUUGUAAAGCACUUUAAGUUGGGAGGAAGGGCAGUAAGUUAAUACCUUGCUGUUUUGACGUUACUGACAGAAUAAGCACCGGCUAACUCUGUGCCAGCAGCCGCGGUAAUACAGAGGGUGCAAGCGUUAAUCGGAAUUACUGGGCGUAAAGUGCUCGUAGGUGGUUCGUUAAGUUGGAUGUGAAAGCCCCGGGCUCAACCUGGGAACUGCAUCCAAAACUGGCGAGCUAGAGUACGGUAGAGGGUGGUGGAAUUUCCUGUGUAGCGGUGAAAUGCGUAGAUAUAGGAAGGAACACCAGUGA